CACCAGACCGAACGGUUGAGAAGGAAACCUCCUUCUCUAACCAAAACUCACCAGACCGAACGGUUGAGAAGGAAACCUCCUUCUCUAACCAAAACUCACCAGACCGAACGGUUGAGAAGAAAGGACCUUCUCACUCUGACCUGUAGUGCCAAACCGAACGGUCAAGAGAAGGGAGAACCUUCUCUGACCAGGGUUCCAUGACCGGACGGUUUGAGAAGGAAACCUCCUUCUCUCACCAAGGCUCCAUGACCGAACAGUCAAGAGGAGGGAGAUCCUUCUCUGACCGAGGAGACCAUACCGUACGGUCAAGAGAAGGGAAACCUUCUCUGACCGAAAGCACACUUAUGACAGAAAUAGAUCAGGACCGGACAGUUAUGGGGUGAGCAAAUCCUCCCCUGGCCGAAAGCAAAGCUGACCGAACGGUCAUGAGAAGGGAAUACCCUCUCUGACCGAGGUAACCAGGCCGAACGAUCAAGAGAAGGGGGAACCUUCUCUUACCAAGACCUCCAAACCGGACGGUCAAGGGGAGGAGUCAUCCUUCCCUGACCAGGCCUACAAAACCGAACGGUCAGGAGAAGGGAGAACCUUCUCUGACCAAGGCCUUCCAAACCGGACGGUCAAACUCUGCAGAAUUCUGCAGAAUUCUACAGAGUUAUGCAGAAUUCGACAGAACCCGCUAAGACCAUUUUCAACCACUUUUGCCAACUUCUAACACUCCUAAUCUUUGUUUUAGACAUAAUUAAACUUAUCUAAGUGAUUCUAAACAUUACUAACACAUUUCUAAAGUGAUUUAAGCUUCAUUUCAACUCUAAAACACUCAUUUUCCCAACUUAGGGACCCAAAACCCAAUAUUACUAUUUUACACCCAUUUUGGCUAAUUUAGUGACUCAAACAAGUCACAACACACUCAGUGAAACUGUCUCAACAGUCCACAAACACAACAAACCCCAUAUACUCAAAAUCACUACCUCACUUCCCUUAAAAUGGCCAAAAAGCGACUCUAAAGCACUAGGUUUUCUUCCAAACACUACCACAAUAGAUUUCAAUCAUCAUCACAGUCCCAAUCAUGCAUAAUUCAACAUACCAAGGGGUUCCAAACAGUCUAAAAUCAUCAAUCAUCAAUUAUACAUAACAUACCCAUUUCCAUACAUGAAUUUCAAACCAAUUCAACCAAUUUCAUGCUUCCAACAUCAUACAACUUUAAAAUUUAUCAUACAUUCACAUCAUACUAUAAAAACGGAAAGAAAGCUAGCUCCCCUUACCUCUAGGGUGCACGGCAAACUCAAAGAAUGAUCCUAGACCAAGUACUUUGCACCCAAAGUGUGAGAAUCACCUAAAAUCAUUAAUUGAUGAUGGAGAACGAAUUUUAGCAUUAAGUUGAAGUUAGAUUGUGAAAGGAAACGAAAUGGGUUGCAUGAAAUAAGAAUCUCAUGCUUGAAACCCUAGGGCAAAGGAGGAAAGAGGGCUUUCUUACCGGUUGGAUGAAACGGAAAAUCGAUCGGUAGAAUUGUAGCUCUUGGAGUCCUGAAUGCUUAGGUAGCUUCAAAUUGAGAAACAAACGGUUAGAUUCUGAGUUAUGGUAGAUGGAAGGUAGAUGAAUGAAGGGAAGAAGAAGAAGGAGAGGUGUGUUUGUCUGGACGGUGGAGGAAUGGGCUAAAACUUAGAAUGAAGUGUUUUUAUAAAAGUUUUAUUUUUAGAACUCUACCCAAUGCUUGGCUGCCACGUGUACACACCUUUGGCUUUAAUUUUACAAGACCUUACACUACCUGAUAACGGUCUAAAAAUCAUUAGUUGAGCUUAGAAUGAGCUUUAAAUCAAGUAAAACACUUAGUUGAGUCUCUUGAGAGUCAAAAGUUGGUUUUAGCGAUAUUAUGCUUGCUUUACAUUGUUUUGCAGGGUUUUUAGAUGAAUUAAAGAUGGAAGUGAAGUAAGGUGGACUUAGACCCAUGAAAGAAGGAGAAAAAUGAUGAAAAGAAGGGUCAAGCAAGCCGUUGAGUGCCAGAAUGGUCCGCUGAACGCCAGAAUGGUCCGUUGAGCGCCAGAAUGGUCCGUUGAGCACUCAGAGCGAUUAGAGGGAAACCGCUCAGCGGAAAAACUAACCGCUGAGCGGUGAAAGCGGUAAGAGGCAAACCGCUGAGCGGUGAAUUUAGGCGCUUGGGCGGUUGUCUGUUUUUUUAGUUAGAUUCUGUAAAUCUUUCUGUAAUCUAUCUGUUAUCUUUUUGGGCUUAUAUAUAGCCCUAGUGUGAAUUAGAAGGGGAUUCUUUUGGCAAAGAGAAACGUCCAGAGCUAUUCCACACCUUGGAGGAGGUUCCUUGGAUGCUUAGGCUCCAUUCAACCAAGUUUAGGGUUAUUUCUUCCAUUCUUUCAUUAUUUUCAUCUAGUUUCACCAUGACAAUGGUGAACUAAACC
rnacentral:lncRNA from 1 species